AGAGUGAACGCUGGCGGUAGGCCUAACACAUGCAAGUCGAACGGCAGCACAGUGGUAGCAAUACCAUGGGUGGCGAGUGGCGGACGGGUGAGGAAUACAUCGGAAUCUACCUUUUCGUGGGGGAUAACGUAGGGAAACUUACGCUAAUACCGCAUACGCCCUUCGGGGGAAAGCCGGGGAUCGCAAGACCUGGCGCGGAUAGAUGAGCCGAUGUCGGAUUAGCUAGUUGGUGAGGUAAUGGCUCACCAAGGCGACGAUCCGUAGCUGGUCUGAGAGGAUGAUCAGCCACACUGGAACUGAGACACGGUCCAGACUCCGUACGGGAGGCAGCAGGUGGGGAAUAUUAGGACAAGUGGGCGCGAAGCCUGAUCCGAGCCGAUACCGGCGUGGGGUAGAAGGAACGGCCGUUUACGGUUACGUAAACGUCCCGUUUUAGGUUA
rnacentral:rRNA from 1 species